GAGGAGCUGUCCUUAGUACGAGAGGACCGGGAUGGACGCACCGCUGGUGUACCAGUUGUUCUGCCAAGGGCAUAGCUGGGUAGCUAUGUGCGGAAGGGAUAAGUGCUGAAAGCAUCUAAGCAUGAAGCCCCCCUCAAGAUGAGAUUUCCCAUAGCGUAAGCUAGUAAGAUCCCUGAAAGAUGAUCAGGUUGAUAGGUUCGAGGUGGAAGCAUGGUGACAUGUGGAGCUGACGAAUACUAAUAGAUCGAGGACUUAACCAUAUAA
rnacentral:rRNA from 2 species